CAGGUCCCAGUCACAGCCAGAGUCGAAAGACUGGUGUCUCUCAUAUCAGGGCUCCUGAAACCAGUGCGGAAAUGACCAGUGACUUUCCUUCCGUUACUGCAGAGUCCUUCCUUCAAGAGCUUAAAAGCUCACUGUUUGAGGAAAUACAUGAGGAUGAAACGGUACUUCAAGCCUCAACAGACUGGUCGACCCGAAAGAGCCUCAUAUCAGGGUGGUGGGAGAAAGAGAGACCCCGACUGGUCAACACCAUGGUGGCUGGACAACAUGCGGCAACUCGGAUCUGCCAACAUUGUGGAAAUGGUCCAGCCGUAAUCCGUUGUUGUGACUGCCGACCACACCCAUUCCUCUGUGGCCAGUGUGAUGUCAGGGUCCACCGAGGUCAAGUGUUCCACAACAGGGAUUCGAUGACACAUGCAUUCUUUCAUCCAUUGCCUCCCACAACUUGUGUUGUGGAGAGGGUUCUAACCCAGUGUGAGCGUCUUGUACCUUUGGAGAUGCCAGAGACAAUAUGCGGUUGUCUACGAGUAUCGUCCAGUGUCAUCGCAGGACAGUCCAUAGUUGUGGUUACAAUGAAUGGUAAGAAGAACUUUAUGGGUUUGGGUGGGGGUCACUUCUGUAGAAGUGUCUGCUGAAUCUCACCCACAGCUAUUUGCUGAUCACACCUCGUAUAUACUCCCUCUCACUUUUUGUCACAAUUAUGCACAUAUACGUAUCAUGUUAAAUUCAUACAUGUUACAUUGUGCAAGAAAUAUUCUUUAUCAUGGCUGGAAAUCCAGAGGUGUCAAUAGGUUGUGUGUUGAUUAGAUUGGCUGGGCCCAACUAUGUGAUGGAAAACAAUUAACCUUUGUUUGAAAGGGGAUAGUUAAUUUGCCUGACAAAUGUGUGACUUCCAAUAGAGUGCCUUACAAAAUGUUUGUAGAAGUAUCCUCCUGAUCCAUCCUUAGUCAAAGGUUCCCAUAUCAGUUGUCAGAAUGACACAGUUUAGUCUGUCAGAAUUAACUUUGUGUAUAUAUUUCCUUCUUUUUCCAGGGCGAUAUGAUCUCAGAUUGCCUCAGAUUAGAUGCAAAAGCAUGUGAAGCCACUUGGAGUCCUGGAGUGGAUGACCUGAUCCGUAAUGACUACUGGCCUGCCACUUCUCACUAUUCAACUGUGUAUGCAACAGAUGUCCUUUUUUUCUUUUUGAAGAGCUGAAGAUGGCAGCACCAGGGAUGUCUAGCCAAGCAUUUCUUAGAAUGCUGGAUCAACGCACUGUUCGAUUUGGCCGUGUAAGUAUUUGUGGUAAUAAUUGCGUAACUCCAUAAAUAAUACUAUGAGGGCAUGAUGAUGAUGAUAGUACACAUGAACAUUUGCACUGUUUAGGAAAAAAGUUGUGUUCAAUUUAGACCCUUUAUAAACAACCAUAAACUCAUGUUCUCUCAUCAGCAGUUUGCACUGAGACAUUUCCAAAAAAAAAAAAACAGGUAAUUCUGAAGAUCUCAACUUCUACUCCAUUGGCUACAGACUUUGACAUCUUCUCCCCAAUAUCAUUUCCUGAUCCCAGAAGUGUUCCCUUGGAUUAAUGGCCCAAACACUGCACAGGCUUACUUCUAAACAAUAUUGUAGCUGUUGUAGCCCUCUUUGUGUAAAGAUUUAAACUGAAUGUCAAACAAUAUCCUGUAUUUUUAAUGGCCAGGUCCCCCAAAUACACCAGUGUAUAGUGUAUGAGUGAAGUCUACACAUUGUUUAUUUCCUUUGAUAUGUAUUCUAAGGAGUGGUUACGAAGUUAGUACAAACAUCCCAUAUGUAUCCAUUUAGAACAUUUUUACUUCAGUGUAGUAUAUUGUUUAAUUUGAUCCGUUUUUUACUGUUCUCUUUUGUUCUCUUUUUACUGAACUCUUCUUUGAAACAGAGUGGAAACAUCACAGCAGACAGCUUCCGGAAAAAGCUUCUUGGAGUGGGAAGCUGUCCGAUUCGAAGUGGACAAAUUAUGCCAGGAGGACCACUUUGACUGCCCAGCGUGCAGCCCAGACAUGCUUGCAGUAUCCGUUGAUGGAAACCGUAAGCACUACAGAUUCAAGAGUGCAGCAAGGUACUGUGUGUGCAUUGACGGUCCAUUACUUUGAAAGUAACUGCUGUGAAUUGAAAAUCAUAUGAAUAUUUAAAGUUAAUAUGUAUCUCUUUUAUUUAGAUCGGAGGAAAAAGCCAUCUUUGAUGGCGUGUUCAUCGCAAAUGAUGAUGAUGUCGCAAGAUUCGUGGACUAUGUCCAUACCUCAACCAGUCAUGUAAACUUGCACAACUUCUCUAUAUUUACCUAUAAAAACACCACGUCCUACAGAGGACUUAGUUUGAACAAGUUUGGAAUGUUAAACAUCUUCCAUGUUUUAGGUCUCUGGAAGAGGUGUCUGUGGAGGGCAAUGGUCAGCGGCGCGUGAAACUUCUCAGAAGUCCUCAGGAAAAACAGACGAGGAGGGCCUGGAACUCGCUGUAUGUCGUCAUGGGGUUCUCCUUCGUGCCCUCAAUAUGUUCAGGGGGAGAUUUUUUUGCCUACCCCCUGUACCUCCAAAAAGCAAAUGGCCUGUAAGCCAGUUAAAAUUUUUUUGCAAUGGAUGUGGCAUGCAAGUACUGGCCUUACCUCCAGAGAGUGACAGAGAAAUGCCCUGAGCUUGAGGAUCUCCUCACCAUGAGGCCAUUUCUUUCUGUUUUUCAUGCCAAAGCUCAUGAUUUCAAAUGUGAGGUAAGAAAAAAUGAUUGUCCAUGAUAUUUUCUUUCCCUAAAAUCCUGCAUAAGAUUGUUGCCACUUAGGUUUUGUUUUUUUGUUUUCUUUUUUUAAAGGUAAAAUGGAGUGGAGCAUAUCAGGAGGGGGCUGGUUCGACUCUUGGGGAAGAGGUGGAGCAGUGCAACGCCUUCCUCUCGAGGAUUGCUGUUACGACAAAGCACAUGUCAAAAAGCAGGUAAGGUAACCAGUAAAUUUUGAUCCUGAUGACAUGGGUGAGCCACUUAUGCAUACAUGCUGACUCUGAAAAAUAUAAAGAUCAGAAUAUAUUAAA
ensembl:lncRNA